rnacentral:lncRNA from 1 species
UCCAGAGCACUACGCCUGAUCCUGGGCUCCCAGAGUGUAGUGAAUGAAGGAGUCAAUCUAUUUUUUUGAGAAAUGUGGAUUUGAAAAGAAGAGAACUUGGGUUUUGUAACUAAUGAAUAUUCUAAGAUGUAGAGGCUUUUGUUGUUGUGUUUUGCUUUGCCAUUGUGGUCCUUUGUUUUAAAAUCUAAAAUUCCUAAUGUUACCAUAGUGGUAAAGCAAGGUCUUAGUCUGAUACAUCAUCUCUAAACUUAGAUUUUCAGAGUCUGAAGAACAUACAGUCCAUUCAGCCCUCUCCACUGUUGCUGGAACUGGCAAGUCAGUUCACCUGAUGUUAGAGGUACAAUCUUCAAACCAUGAUGUAAGUGUCUAAAUCUCUCACCACUCACAAAAGCUUAAGAAGACGUCUCCA